rnacentral:rRNA from 1 species
GACGAACGCUGGCGGCGUGCCUAAUACAUGCAAGUAGAACGCUGAAGGAGGAGCUUGCUUCUCUGGAUGAGUUGCGAACGGGUGAGUAACGCGUAGGUAACCUGCCUGGUAGCGGGGGAUAACUAUUGGAAACGAUAGCUAAUACCGCAUAAGAGUAGAUGUCGCAUGACAUUUGCUUAAAAGGUGCAAUUGCAUCACUACCAGAUGGACCUGCGUUGUAUUAGCUAGUUGGUGAGGUAACGGCUCACCAAGGCAACGAUACAUAGCCGACCUGAGAGGGUGAUAGGCCACACUGGGACUGAGACACGGCCCAGAAUCCUACGGGAGGCAGCAGUAGGGAAUCUUCGGCAAUGGACGGAAGUCUGACCGAGCAACGCCGCGUGAGUGAAGAAGGUUUUCGGAUCGUAAAGCUCUGUUGUAAGAGAAGAACGAGUGUGAGAGUGGAAAGUUCACACUGUGACGGUAUCUUACCAGAAAGGGACGGCUAACUACGUG